UACGGAAGGCAGCAGUGGGGAAUAUUGCACAAUGGGCGCAAGCCUGAUGCAGCCAUGCCGCGUGUAUGAAGAAGGCCUUCGGGUUGUAAAGUACUUUCAGUCGUGAGGAAGGUGUUAAGGUUAAUAACCUUAGCAAUUGACGUUAGCGACAGAAGAAGCACCGGCUAACUCCGUGCCAGCAGCCGCGGUAAUACGGAGGGUGCGAGCGUUAAUCGGAAUUACUGGGCGUAAAGGGCACGCAGGCGGUUAAUUAAGUUGGAUGUGAAAUCCCCGGGCUUAACCUGGGAAUGGCAUUCAAGACUGGUUAGCUAGAGUCUUGUAGAGGGGGUAGAAUUCCAUGUGUAGCGGUGAAAUGCGUAGAGAUGUGGAGGAAUACCGGUGGCGAAGGCGGCCCCUGGGACAAAGGACUGACGCUCAUGUGCGAAAGCGUGGGGAGCAAAC
rnacentral:rRNA from 1 species